rnacentral:rRNA from 1 species
AUGUCGGCAAGUGUAUGGGCGCUGGCCCCCGAAGAGAUGGUAUACCAUAUGCUAGAGUGGGGAGAGGAGAACCCGAAGGACUGGCUGUUUGCACUCCAUGAAAUAUUAUCUAAGGAGUUUUUUGAUCGCUUGGUGGUCUCACUUUGGGCGAUAUGGGGAGCCAGGAGAAAGGCCAUACAUGAGAACAUCUUUCAAUCACCCCAUUCGGUUAGUAGUUUCAUAUCUACUUACUUGGGGGAGCUGCAGUUGGUAAUUGCCAAGAACCCGGGCGAGACGGUCCAUAUAACCAAGAACCCAAGGAGGUGGAUACCCCCGACUGGGGGCAAUGCUAAGAUAAAUGUUGACGCGGCUGUGUCUAGGCAGGGAUCCGGGUCGAUUGGGGUGAUAUGCAGAGAUCAAACAUGUAUGUUCAUGGGUGCCUCCACUAUUGGUUUCAGACACAUUGUAGAUCCACCGACACUCGAAGCUCUAGCAAUCAGAGAAGCAUUGGCACUGGCGGAUGAUCUAUACUUGCUUCGAAUUGAAGUGGCGUCGGAUUGCAAAGUGGUAGUGGAGGAUUUGCAGAAGGAUAAUUCGGCGAGCUACGGUGCCAUUGUACAUGAAAUAAUAGCCCAUACCUCAUCUUUU